GCUGACGAGUGGCGGACGGGUGAGUAACACGUAGGAAUCUGCCUUUUAGUUUGGAAUAACCAAGGGAAACUUUGGCUAAUGCCGGAUGUGAUCAUUGCUUGCAAUGAUUAAAGCCUUCGGGCGCUAGAAGAUGAGCCUGCGGCGGAUUAGCUUGUUGGUGGGGUAAAGGCCUACCAAGGCGACGAUCUGUAGCUGGUCUGAGAGGACGAUCAGCCACACUGGGACUGAGACACGGCCCAGACUCC
rnacentral:rRNA from 1 species